rnacentral:misc_RNA from 1 species
GAGAAUCCAGCUCUGGAAGCGUUUAUAUAACAUGAAAUAUAUAUACGCAUUCCGAUCAAAGCUGGGUU